rnacentral:rRNA from 1 species
GACGAACGCUGGCGGCGCGCCUAACACAUGCAAGUCGAGCGGAGAUAUUUGAAGGAAGUUUUCGGAUGGAAUUUGGGUAUUUUAGCGGCGGACGGGUGAGUAACGCGUGAGUGACCUGCCUUCCACAGGGGGAUAACGUACCGAAAGGUACACUAAUACCGCAUGAGACCACAGCACUGCCUGGUGCAGGGGUCAAAGGAGCAAUCCGGUGGAAGAUGGACUCGCGUCCGAUUAGAUAGUUGGUGGGGUAACGGCCUACCAAGUCAGCGAUCGGUAGCCGACCUGAGAGGGUGAUCGGCCACAUUGGAACUGGGAGACGGUCCAAACUCCUACGGGAGGCAGCAGUGGGGAAUAUUGGGCAAUGGGGGAAACCCUGACCCAGCGACGCCGCGUGAGGGAAGAAGGUUUUCGGAUUGUAAACCUCUGUUCUUGGUGAAGAGGGAAAGACGGUAGCCAAGGAGGAAGCCCCGGCUAACUACGUGCCAGCCGCCGCGGUAA